rnacentral:rRNA from 1 species
UACGUAGGGUGCAAGCGUUAAUCGGAAUUACUGGGCGUAAAGCGUGCGCAGGCGGUUUUGUAAGUCUGUCGUGAAAUCCCCGGGCUCAACCUGGGAAUUGCGAUGGAGACUGCAAGGCUAGAAUCUGGCAGAGGGGGGGUAGAAUUCCACGUGUAGCAGUGAAAUGCGUAGAGAUGCGGAGGAACACCGAUGGCGAAGGCAGCCCCCUGGGCUGACACUGACGCUCAGGCACGAAAGCGUGGGGGAGCAAACGAGGAU